rnacentral:lncRNA from 1 species
CUCUCUCUUAAUAGUGCUCCUUUAAUCCUUCAUUUGUUUUCUACAUUUGUUUCCACCUUUCAAUUACAUGCAUACAAACAAACAACAAUAUUUUCUCUUCCUCAUCAAGUGAGCAGCAAACCACCUCUCCUGACUGUGGCGCCUUCUCCCAAUUCUCUCAUGCAAAACAGCAACAAUAACUAAUUCUUCCUUCUUCAAUUCUCAUGGUAACAUCUUCUUUCUUUAUUUCUCUCUUGGCAGCACCCCUACACUCCCUCUUUCCUGUGCAUGCAACCAUGCAGAGAACAACUAGCUGCAUCUUCUCCUCAUCUCUCUCUCACGCACAGCGAAUCACUCUCCUCCUCUAUGACACCUCCUCCCAUUCCAUCAUGCAAAACAAUUGCAACAUUACUCUCCUUAAUCUCCCUCUCAAUCUCUACUCCAUUAAUCUAUUUCUUCAAUUGCAUGAAGGAGCAGUAGCUUUAUUUCCUCCUCCAUUUCUCCUUCACGCACACUGCAGAUGGACAGCCCCUCUUCCCCCUCUCCUAUGGCGUCAUUGUCUCUCCCUCAUGCAGAAAUAACCACAGCCCUCCUCCCUUACUUCCCUUCGUUACACCUCUCUUUCAUCCUCUCUUAUGUCAGCUCCUUUACUCCAUUGCAUGCAUGCACAUAACUACAGCAAUAUCUCCUUCCUGUCUCUCUCACGCAGGAGGCUCCCUCUCCUUCUCCUAUAAAUAGAACCCCCAUUGCCCCCUACAAUUUCCCUUGCAUUCCUUCUGUUCUACUCUCCCUAAAGGUAUCUCUUGGACACCCCUCCCUCUUGCAGGUGAAGAAGAGGACACAAAAAUACAGCCAUG